rnacentral:tRNA from 1 species
CAUAGCUCAAUUGGAUAGAGCAUUUGAUUCCGAUUCAAAAGGUUGCGGGUUCAAGUCCUGUUG